rnacentral:rRNA from 1 species
UACGUAGGGGGCUAGCGUUAUCCGGAAUUACUGGGCGUAAAGGGUGCGUAGGCGGUCUUUCAAGUCAGGAGUGAAAGGCUACGGCUCAACCGUAGUAAGCUCUUGAAACUGUAAGACUUGAGUGCAGGAGAGGAGAAUGGAAUUCCUAGUGUAGCGGUGAAAUGCGUAGAGAUUAGGAAGAACACCAGUGGCGAAGGCGAUUCUCUGGACUGUAACUGACGCUGAGGCUCGAAAGCGUGGGGAGCAAACAGGAUUAGAUACCCGCGUAGU